UCGCCCACAAUCACUUCAACGGUCUCAACACAUAUGUGACUCGGUUCAACGUGGGAAAAGAGCAACAGUACCCACUUGCGCUGGUCGGUCGGAACGGUUCCGAAACCCAUUUUCUGGGACAUGUCUGUUGGGCUCGUUGGUCGAUAAAACAGGUAAUCGACCCUUUCCCACCUUUGGUCUCCUCGCGCUAACCCCGUAGCGUGUGGUUUUUAGCGGGCUCCAGGCCCGCUUUUUUUU
rnacentral:ncRNA from 1 species